CCUGCCCCGCCUCGCCCCGCCCCCUCCGGAAGCUCAGCCGCUGCUUGCUCGCGUGUCAACCUGACACUUGGCCUGGCUUUUGCUCUUCCAGCGUGGGCGCUCUGAAGCUUGGGGGUGGGCGUGACCCCUGUGGCAGCCCCCAGCGAGCCUUCUUCACCUUUAUCGCGUGGUUCCCAGCAUCUCUCUUAGCCCCAGCCACCCGACGGUGUCCUGGGAGGCUCCCAAUAAAGAUGGGGUAAUUCUCCUGGAGUCCAGAGCAGUGGGCCCCGCGGGCCUGAAAUCACGCGUGGAGAGUGAAGUUAGAGACAAGAUCUCUGCCGGAGAAGAGAAGUGCGCCACAACUGGAGUUACCCAGACCAUCAUGGGUCUCUUCUGCAUGGGAAGUGAGGUACAGAGAACCUGUCACAUACCUGCCAUUACAACAGAAACAGCACCAAGAUACUGCCCAUCCUUUCUGCCCAGUGGGGCAGGCUGCUAUGCCCAAAAGUGAGGCUCAUGUCAAUCCUUCCCAAACGGUGAGGGAUAAACACGUUUGUAGUUGUGAUGAAGUGAUCCUACACUCCUGGUGGAACAGGGAAAGGCCUGGCCAUGACAAAACCCCUGGGAACAAUAAAGUUAGAAGAAGAAA